AUUGAAGAUCUAUGAGUGACAGCAGUUGACAGUUUUAUACGAGUUUAAAAACGUAGCUAAUAUGGCGUUGUUUACAAUUUCUGAUCAAUUGCAUUUAAAUUAUUGUCCAAAAACUAUUCUUUCAAGAAUAUCAUAGCCAAUAAGAUGUUAAAACAACUAAAUAGUUCAAGUAAAAAGCUCAUUAAUACACUAUUUUAUAUUGGAACGAAAUAAUUAUUACCCUAGAAGAAAAUAUUAGAGAAUGUUACGAUAAAUGAAGCAUGACAACCACAUAAGUUAAUGGUAAAGGGCAAUAUAUAAAAGAAAUAAAACAUGUAGUUAUAUUUAUUUUGAUUUUGUUUAAAACAAACUUUAGAAAAGAUAUUUACCUACCAGCUGAACAUGGACAUAAAGUAUUAUGUCUUCCACUAUGUCUUCGAUAUAAUUUUAUUAUUUCGAAGCAUUAUAAACAAAUUUGAAUGAAAAUGCAGAAAAUAAAUUGUUUGAAUAUGUAAUUUUAAGCACUUCAAACAGUAACAAACUGAAAAACUAUCAAUUUUGCAAAGAAAGAGUUAACAAAUGGUAUAAAUGAGAACAAAUAAUAGAAAUACAAGAAGUUACUCCAAUUGUUAAUAACUACAGUGAUUUCCGUGACUUCUUGUCACAAUCUGAAGAAAAACUUAUUCUAAUAUAAAAAUAAUGUACUGUUAACCCCUGUAUACCUUGCAAAGCAUUUUAACCUGUAUUUUUAUUAAUAAAAUUAUGACCAU